UACGGGGGGGUGCGAGCGUUGUCCGGAAUCACUGGGCGUAAAGGGCGCGUAGGUGGCGUGAUAAGGGUGUGGUGAAAAGCCCGGGGGCUCAACCCCCGGGUCUGCCAUGCCGACUGUCAGGCUCGAGUGCUGUAGGGGCAGGCGGAAUUCCGGGUGUAGCGGUGGAAUGCGUAGAGAUCCGGAGGAAGACCGGUGGCGAAGGCGGCCUGCUGGGCAGUUACUGACACUGAGGCGCGACAGCGUGGGGGAGCAAACAGG
rnacentral:rRNA from 1 species